UUUUCCCCGUUCGAAGAAAUCAAAACAACCUUCGUUGCCUAGAAACCGUCCCGGGUGACGUGUUUUCCGGAAACACGUAAACCUGAUCGACCAAUCGCUUGUCGACUCGUUGAAUACAAGACGGGUACCAUGGCAACGCGUGAAUAUAAACACAUCAACUUUGAAAUCAGUUGUCAGUAAAGCAGUAUUUACUGCAAUUGAAGUUUUAAAUGAGCCGGUUUUUACACGUUCGUUUUGGAAAAAGUCUUGUUUGUUGGAAUUGCCUCUCGAAGGAUUGAAGGACCCGAAAAUGUGACUUUAAACUAGAAAAUUACCGAUUGUAAAGGAAAAGUUGAUGAUUUUUGCGACUUAAAUCGUUGGCGGGACCUUAAGGAUGGGAAGUUUUCAAAUUGAGACCCGGUAYAUUGGAAAACACGAGCAUUCUACAGGGUGACCAAGAACGAUCAUUCGUACGGGCCCAACACCAUUUACAUUCACGAGAAGAAAGUCCCUUAUCCCUACUACAUGGUGCAACCGCAUUGCGAAAUGAACACUGAUUAUCGUGGUCACAUUUCCCCCUACAUCAUUCUACCUUUAACGGUUUUAGGUUCCGUUCUUCUGUUUUCGAUUUUCACCGUUGGUCUCCUGCUGAUUAUAGAAAGAGCUCGGCUGACGCCCGUAAUACGAGCGAGACUUCAGAGCCUGCACAGCGAUUCGCGUUUCAGCUCGUUCGAACAACUGGUGACAAAGGCAGUUGAAGUGUACAAUAAACUCAAUGAUUAUUAAAUAUUUUAUUAGUUUA